UACGUAGGUGGCAAGCGUUGUCCGGAAUUAUUGGGCGUAAAGCGCGCGCAGGUGGUUCUUUAAGUCUGAUGUGAAAGCCCACGGCUCAACCGUGGAGGGUCAUUGGAAACUGGGGAACUUGAGUGCAGAAGAGGAAAGUGGAAUUCCAAGUGUAGCGGUGAAAUGCGUAGAUAUCAAGAGGAACACCUGCGGCGAAGGCGGGUUGCUGGGCUGACACUGACGCUGAUGCGCGAAAGCUAGGGGAGCGAACGGG
rnacentral:rRNA from 1 species